ensembl:lncRNA
CCAAUAUCUAAACAUUGCAUUUAUUCAUUUCAAAGUCCUUAAGGAAUUAAAUUGAUAAACCUCCCUGAAUUGACCAGACUGUUUGGUCUCCUGAAGACUAUAGAGGCUUUAAGAAAUAUGUGAUUAGUUAGUUUUCCAAAAUUUCAAAGGAAAUGUUUAAAGAAAUUGACAACUGUAGCUGAGAUCAUUGUUCUCUAAGCUUCUCCAAGCUUCAUAGAAUUCUAAUAAAUAUUGAAUAAGUAUUCAGACCUAAGGAAGAUUCAGGGUCAAUUGCAUAGGAGGCAGAAAAUGAACUAUCAAUUAUUAUUGAAAAUUAUCUGUAGACACAAGUGAACUUUCUAAAACUUAAAUUUAAAAUUUAACCCAUCCCAUAUAGUUUUCCUUUAAAAUCCUGUACGUGAAAUAGCACUUCAUCAACAGAGUUUCUAACAAGGUGAUAAUUUCUUAACUCUAGAUUAUAAUCUGGAAUUAUUCUCCAGUAAGAAAUUGAACAGUGGAGGAAAGGAAUAAAAAGAAAAGAGAAAUUUAUGUUCUUCUCCAAGCUAUAUUAGCAAUCGGAUCAGAGAUAAGACCAUGCUUCUCUUCGAACUCUAAAUAUUAGGUACAUUUCUUCAUCAUACCCAUGCAUUUAUUCAAUAAUUCUUGAGCAGCUACUGCAAGCAAAGCUGUAUAAGGGAUAGACUGCUGAAAAGGAUCCUCAAGAAUUUUGUAAACUAGAAUUUAGAAGAAAACAUAUCAAAUAGAUAUCUGCAACAUUUGUCAAAUUUAAUUCCUCUAGGAGAAAUACAAAGCAUUGUGGAAAUUAGGGUUAGGGUGGAAAGUCAAGAUCAGCUUCAUGAACUGAAUCUUAAAGAAUUGUAUUAUUUCCUCACCCAGAGAUGUGUGAAGAUAGAAGAAACUGGUCAAACAAAAAUAUGGAAGCAGGGAAGUAGGAAAAUCAAUAUCUGUUGGAGAAUCUGAAGAGCCAAAUCUCCUGAGCCUGGGCCUACUGCUGUCAGCGUCUCUGAGACCUCUCUUACCUGAGAAUUACCAGGUCUCACAACACUUUCCGUCCAGCCUACAGUGAGGGAUGUCAACAAAGCUACAGAAAACUCACAUUUUCUAGACUUACAAGCUGUGCAGCUGGGCAGGAACCUUAUAAUCUCCAUCCUUAGGGAAGGUUCAGAAAUAUAGACAAACGGGAGGAAAACUCAGAUAUGCUGAGCCUGAUAUAUACAAAAGCCUUCAGAUAGUCUCCUCAAGGAAGAGCCCAAUUAGGUCCACAUAAUUAGUCCACACAUCUAGAUUAGGUAUAGGCAAAACGAGCCCUUUAUCCAUCUACCAAAACAGAGCAAAAGACUGACAUAAUACUAUAAAAGAUUCUUGUUCUAAUAACAGUAUUAUAAAGCAGUUUCAGCCAUAUUUAUUUUAAUCAGUAUAAAAGUAGGAGUGUGGAAAAUAAAGCAUUACUUAUAUUUUUGAAAAUUGAUUAAGAAGCUCUGAUAAAACCUAUUGGAGGGGUGAUUGCUGUGCUGAAGGAUAGAGAGGGUGUCUCAAUUGUCAAAUCAUAGCAUCACCAUUUUCUGCUUGUGUGCUAUUACCUUAGCUCUGAGAGUGAUUUGUUUUUACCGGAUUGUUAGAACACGUCCAAUAGAUUUAGAGACAGUCUAAGUGACUGUGAAAUGCCUCAAGGGCAAUAGAAAUCAAAGAGAAACACAU